rnacentral:lncRNA from 1 species
GUUUGUCCGACGUCACCUGCAGCUGCAGACAGGUGAGGCGAGGAACCGCCGAUGACGGCCGCUCCAUUUCUGUCAGGAAUAUUUGUUAAAUCGGAAAAGUAGCAACAGCGUUCAUCUGCCAGUUGAAAGCGUGGCAGCGAGGAGCCGUCUAACAAGCUGCUGACAGGACGCUGAAUCAGGGGCAGAAGCAAAGAAAAACCCUGGAGAUGGAUCUAAGAAUGCCCCCCGUCAUUAGCCUCAACAUAAUCAAAUCAUUUUACUCAUUCAGAAGUUCUCAAGGGGCCUCGGCCCGGGAUGACGAACACUGUCGAGAAGGCUUCACUCAGUCUCGCUCUGCCAAGAGAGCUGCCUGCCUCCGCCAUCGCUGCCGGCGCCGCCGCCAUGCUGCCGCUGCCAUGCUGCCGCUGCCAAACAAGGUGUGACUCCCUCCACUCUGUGGAAACCCCGUUCCCUGAACCCCAGCAUCAGUCUGGAUGCACCGUGACCACAUGGUUAUGGCAAAGGAACCAAGAUGACUGACAUUCUUCAGGGCAGAGAAGCUCAGCAGAAAUGUCCUGUGUCCUCAGUUAUCUCACUCCACCCUGUCAGCCGUCUCUGCGCAUCUGAUGCGUCUUUUCCUGUAAAUCAGACCCUCUGAAAACCAGACGUUACCGUAAAAGCAGCAAAUAUGUGAUAAGAUAAAUGAAUAUGACUUUUUUAAAAGCUUUUGCGUCAGUUGCUGCCAUUUGUUAGAGGAAAAACUCGAUUAAGACCCCCCAAAAAACCCCAAACAAACAGUGAUUCCGAUAAGACAUCUGCUUCUUUUUUUUUUUUUUUUUUUUGCGGAGCCGCUGAUAAACUGAUGAAGCCGCACAUCAUUCGUCUCUCUGGGCCACAAGUCAGCAAAUUCUUCACCACAAUGAGGCCGAAGUCGCCCGCAUCGUUUAUGUGGAACCAACUAAAAGCCACCGAUGGCAGCGUUUGAUUUUUAGGCCAUUUACCAGAUUAGAAUCCAGAGCGAUAAAACACGCUGCCUUUUCUUUUUUAAUCGGAAUUAAGUCCCGAAACUUUUUGCUCAUCUGCUCAAUUUGUCGUAGUUUCCCCCCAGAUUAAUCGUCCCUGCCGUUUGCAACCAUAUUAGUCCGUAUUUGUGUCGGGGCGCCGCGUCCGACGCUGCUGAUUUUCACAAUCCUGCCUAAUUUAUUCAUUAAAUUGUCUAAAUGUGCUACAAAUGUCCAGGAAUUUAUAAAUUAUGCAUCCCAGUUUGGGCCGAUGUGAAAACACGUUUUUCUUGUUUGCGGUUUGAUUGUUUUUUUGUUGCCUGGGAGCUGAGAGAGUAAAUAACUAAUAAAGCCUUCAAAGUGACGUAGAUGUCUUUAUUUAUUUGAAUGUAAAAAUCAAACCUACAUGAUGGUUUCUUUUUUUUCCCGUUUUGUCAUUCAUUCAAAUCUCAAUGCAUCAC